UCACUUGCCUGACACAAAACAUACCAACAUCAAGAAGGUUAUUUUCAUAGGGCAGGGCUUAUCUAUUUUGCUCCCAAUGUGUUGACCCAAGGGUGAUUUCCCCAAAUAUGGGACACUCGAUGGUAUAGUUUAUGGUGUUAAGGGGCUACAAUCACUCUCC
rnacentral:snRNA from 1 species